GAGUUUGAUCUUGGCUCAGAUUGAACGCUGGCGGCAGGCCUAACACAUGCAAGUCGAGCGGAUGACGGGAGCUUGCUCCUUGAUUCAGCGGCGGACGGGUGAGUAAUGCCUAGGAAUCUGCCUGGUAGUGGGGGACAACGUUUCGAAAGGAACGCUAAUACCGCAUACGUCCUACGGGAGAAAGCAGGGGACCUUCGGGCCUUGCGCUAUCAGAUGAGCCUAGGUCGGAUUAGCUAGUUGGUGGGGUAAUGGCUCACCAAGGCGACGAUCCGUAACUGGUCUGAGAGGAUGAUCAGUCACACUGGAACUGAGACACGGUCCAGACUCCUACGGGAGGCAGCAGUGGGGAAUAUUGGACAAUGGGCGAAAGCCUGAUCCAGCCAUGCCGCGUGUGUGAAGAAGGUCUUCGGAUUGUAAAAGCGACUUUUAAGUUGGGAGGAAGGGCAGUAAGUUAAUACCUUGCUGUUUUGACGUUACCGACAGAAUAAGCACCGGCUAACUCUGUGCCAGCCGCCGACCG
rnacentral:rRNA from 1 species